AAUCAUUGUACUGGAACUUUGUUCAGCCAGCACAUUCCGACUGUCUGCGACACAGAAUUUAGAAGAUUUACCCCAAGAAAAAUCAAUGGCUUCUCAGAAAUACGAAUUUAAAGUUCACAUGGCAUGUGAGGGAUGCUCUGGUGCUGUAACCAAGGUAUUAACAAGAAGCCCAGGCGUUGAGAGCGUUAAGAUUGACAUGGAAAACCAGAAGGUGCUUGUCUCUUCGUCUUUGCCAUCAGACGAAGUGUUGACGAUCAUAAAGAAGACGGGGAAGCAAUGUUCCCUUGUCCAGAGUGAUUAAAAUCUUACCAGGUGUCCACCACGACAAGGAGUGAUGCCGUGAUGUGUUUUUUUAUGCCAGCUCAAUCGUCAAAUCUAUAUUGCCUCUAUUUAGAAAAAUACAAUUUAAAGAUACAAUAGCUGUGAUUUCGGGCAUUUUUUGCUUGUUAUAAAUAUAACCACAUAGAAGGUUACCUAAUCUUACCAAAAUAUUGUUUUAGACGCAUUGCAAUUGCAAGUAACCCUACACUGGGUCAACGUAAUCAUUUAUUCAGUUGAUUUCAUUGAUAUCGGUCACGUGAUGAGAAUCGUAAACACCUGUACGACACACACUAUUAGAGGAAAUAACACAUACAUUUUUCAGUGGAUUUCAAUAGAUGGCGCCCUCUAGAGACCCGAUGCAAACCCGCGACCAAAUACUUGUAGUUUUUCAUUUUCCCCAAGUGAUUUAAUGUUCAACGUCAGCAUAUAGCGUAUAUACCAUGCUUUCAAUGCCCAUAUCUCGACGAUGGCCGUCACAAAUUGACACUAAUGAUGUAAUAUUAAAAUUAAAAAUCGGAGAAAAAUUGAUGGAUACCUCUAUUGCAGCUAUUUUUGGUUUUGAAUGCACUGAAUGAAUAAAUAGUAAAAUACCUAUUGUGGAACAGUA